CAGAGCACGGGCAGAUAAAUGCAUACUGAUCUAUAUUAUAUUUUAUGUAUAAAGUUUUAACAUGUUAAAUACAAAAAAUCAUGUUAAGAAAUAAUGUAACGAUAUUUAAACUAUCUCUAAGAUGUUGACAUUACAAGUUUAUUAAAAAGUUUAUUUAAAAAGUGCUAAUUGAUUCCUUGCUGAAAAAGAUAAACUGAGAAGCCUUUUCUUUUUUUUCGCUGAGCUAAUUGUGGAAAGACAUGAUAGAUCUUAACAUCGGAAAAAGCCAGAAGGUCUGCUGCAUAUGGCAAAAUUUAUCAUUUGAAGGCUAAGGAGAAAAAGUUAUCAACUGGUAAUAUGGCUGAUGUUCAAUAGUGAAGAGGUGAAGCUUAGCCUUGCAAACGCAAAAUUUGAUCUUACUUUUGAGUGGCGCAA